rnacentral:rRNA from 1 species
GUUUCGGUGGUCAUUGCGUUAGGGAAACGCCCGGUUACAUUCCGAACCCGGAAGCUAAGCCUUCAGCGCCGAUGGUACUGCAUU